rnacentral:rRNA from 1 species
GAUGAACGCUGGCGGCGUGCCUAAUACAUGCAAGUCGAGCGAACAGACGAGGAGCUUGCUCCUCUGACGUUAGCGGCGGACGGGUGAGUAACACGUGGAUAACCUACCUAUAAGACUGGGAUAACUUCGGGAAACCGGAGCUAAUACCGGAUAAUAUAUUGAACCGCAUGGUUCAAUAGUGAAAGACGGUUUUGCUGUCACUUAUAGAUGGAUCCGCGCCGCAUUAGCUAGUUGGUAAGGUAACGGCUUACCAAGGCAACGAUGCGUAGCCGACCUGAGAGGGUGAUCGGCCACACUGGAACUGAGACACGGUCCAGACUCCUACGGGAGGCAGCGGUAGGGAAUCUUCCGCAAUGGACGAAAGCCUGACGGAGCAACGCCGCGUGAGUGAUGAAGGUCUUCGGAUCGUAAAACUCUGUUAUUAGGGAAGAACAAAUGUGUAAGUAACUAUGCACGUCUUGACGGUACCUAAUCAGAAAGCCACGGCUAACUACGUG